rnacentral:rRNA from 1 species
GUAGAACGCUAGCGGGAGGCCUAACACAUGCAAGCCGAGCGGUAGAGUCUCUUCGGAGACUUGAGAGCGGCGUACGGGUGCGGAACACGUGUGCAACCUGCCUUUAUCAGGGGGAUAGCCUUUCGAAAGGAAGAUUAAUACCCCAUAAUAUAUUUUGAGGCAUCUUAAGAUAUUGAAAACUCCGGUGGAUAAAGAUGGGCACGCGCAAGAUUAGAUAGUUGGUGGGGUAACGGCCUACCAAGUCAAUGAUCUUUAGGGGGCCUGAGAGGGUGAUCCCCCACACUGGUACUGAGACACGGACCAGACUCCUACGGGAGGCAGCAGUGAGGAAUAUUGGACAAUGGGUGCGAGCCUGAUCCAGCCAUCCCGCGUGAAGGACGACGGCCCUAUGGGUUGUAAACUUCUUUUGUACAGGGAUAAACCUUUCCACGUGUGGAAAGCUGAAGGUACUGUACGAAUAAGCACCGGCUAACUCCGUGCCAGCAGCCGCGGUAAUACGGAGGGUGCAAGCGUUAUCCGGAUUUAUUGGGUUUAAAGGGUCCGUAGGCGGAUCASUAAGUCAGUGGUGAAAUCUCAUAGCUCAACUAUGAAACUGCCAUUGAUACUGCUGGUCUUGAGUAAGGGUAGAAGUAGCUGGAAUAAGUAGUGUAGCGGUGAAAUGCAUAGAUAUUACUUAGAACACCAAUUGCGAAAGCAGGUUACUAUGUCUUAACUGACGCUGAUGGACGAAAGCGUGGGGAGCGAACAGGAUUAGAUACCCUGGUAGUCCACGCCGUAAACGAUGCUAACUCGUUUUUGGGUUUUCGGAUUCAGAGACUAAGCGAAAGUGAUAAGUUAGCCACCUGGGGAGUACGAACGCAAGUUUGAAACUCAAAGGAAUUGACGGGGGCCCGCACAAGCGGUGGAUUAUGUGGUUUAAUUCGAUGAUACGCGAGGAACCUUACCAAGGCUUAAAUGGGAAUUGAUCGGUUUAGAAAUAGACCUUCCUUCGGGCAAUUUUCAAGGUGCUGCAUGGUUGUCGUCAGCUCGUGCCGUGAGGUGUUAGGUUAAGUCCUGCAACGAGCGCAACCCCUGUCACUAGUUGCCAUCAUUAAGUUGGGGACUCUAGUGAGACUGCCUACGCAAGUAGAGAGGAAGGUGGGGAUGACGUCAAAUCAUCACGGCCCUUACGCCUUGGGCCACACACGUAAUACAAUGGCCGGUACAGAGGGCAGCUACACAGCGAUGUGAUGCAAAUCUCGAAAGCCGGUCUCAGUUCGGAUUGGAGUCUGCAACUCGACUCUAUGAAGCUGGAAUCGCUAGUAAUCGCGCAUCAGCCAUGGCGCGGUGAAUACGUUCCCGGGCCUUGUACACACCGCCCGUCAAGCCAUGGAAGUCUGGGGUACCUGAAGUCGGUGACCGUAAAAGGAGCUGCC